rnacentral:rRNA from 1 species
AGCGUAGACGGUGUGGCAAGUCUGAUGCGAAAGGCAUGGGCUCAACCUGUGGACUGCAUUGGAAACUGCCAUACUUGAGUGCCGGAGGGGUAAGCGGAAUUCCUAGUGUAGCGGUGAAAUGCGUAGAUAUUAGGAGGAACACCAGUGGCGAAGGCGGCUUACUGGACGGUAACUGACGUUGAGGCUCGAAAGCGUGGGAGCAAACA